rnacentral:rRNA from 1 species
AUUGAACGCUGGCGGCAGGCUUAACACAUGCAAGUCGAGCGAGUGGCGGACGGGUGAGUAAUGCUUGGGAAUCUGGCUUAUGGAGGGGGAUAACUACUGGAAACUGUAGCUAAUACCGCGUACCAUAAGAUGAGCCCAAGUGGGAUUAGCUAGUUGGUGGGGUAAUGGCUCACCAAGCCGACGAUCCCUAGCUGGUCUGAGAGGAUGACCAGCCACACUGGGACUGAGACACGGUCCAGACUCCUACGGGAGGCAGCAGUGGGGAAUAUUGCGCAAUGGGGGCAAGCUGAUGCAGCCAUGCCGCGUGAGUGAAGAAGGCCUUCGGGUUGUAAAGUUCUUUCGGUAGGGAGGCGUUAACCACAGAAGAAGCACCGGCUAACUCCGUGCCAGCAGCCGCGGUAAUAC